rnacentral:lncRNA from 1 species
ACGGAGAGAGAGGAAACGAACCAAACAACGCGUUCAUCCAUAACAUUGAUUAGUAUAAUAAACUAGAGGUCGACCGAUUAUGAUUUUUCAACACCGAUACCGAUUAUUGGGGGACCCAAAAAAAGCCGAUACCGAUUAACCGGCCGAUUUCUUUUAUUUUUUUUACAUCUAUUUGUAAUAAUGCCAAUUACAACAAUACUGAAUGAACACUUAUUUUAACUUAAUAUAAUACAUCAAUAAAAUCAAUUUAGCCUCAAAUAAAUAAUGAAACAUGUUCAAUUUGGUUUAAAUAAUGCAAAAACAAAGUGUUGGAGAAGAAAGUAAAAGUGCAAUAUGUGCCAUGUAAGAAAGCUAAUGUUUAAGUGCCUUGCUCAGAACAUGGGAACAUAUGAAAGCUGGUGGUUCCCUUUAACAUGAAUCUUCAAUAUUCCCAGUUAAUAAAUCUCAAGAUGAGCAUACACAUACCUGCUGCGUUUUGGUCCUCCAUUACCGACGACAACCGUGACAGAAUCACCCACCAACUAUGGACCAAGCAGCAGAAGAAGGAGCAGAGGGACUUCGAGUUGGACUGGCGGGAGAAGUGGACCUGGGAGGAAGUUCUGGACGGGGCCGGACCUUGGCACCAGGCUGAGGAUUAUCGCCGCCCGCAGUGGGAAAUUGAGGCAGCCAAGGCAUAGAGGCGUAGGUACGAG